GCGAUCAUACCAGCCCUUAUCCACCGGAUCCCAUCAGAACUCCGAAGUUAAGCGUGCUUGGGCGAGAGCAGUACUAGGAUGGGUGAACCCUUGGGAAGUCCUCGUGUUGCUACU
rnacentral:rRNA from 1 species